rnacentral:tRNA from 1 species
GCCGGAGUGGUGGAAUUGGCAGACACAAGGGACUUAAAAUCCCUUGAGGGAAACCUCGUGCGGGUUCAAAUCCCGCCUCCGGUA